ACAAAUACGUGGCAGUAGCGGGGUGAAAGCGUGGGGGGCGGGCUGUGUCGGGAUGUAUUGGGCGUAAAGAGUUAGGUGGGGGCUAACGAAGGCGGAUGGGAAAACGUCAGGCGCAACCUGGGGACGCCAUUCGAUACUGGUGUGGCUAGAUGCCAGUAGGGGAGUGUGGAAUUCCUGGUGUAGCGGUGAAAUGCAUAGAUAUCAGGAGGAACACCAGCGGCGAAGGCGGCACUCUGGGCUGGUACUGACGCUGAGGAGCGAAAGCGUGGGGAGCGAACAGGAUUAGAUACCCGGGUAGUC
rnacentral:rRNA from 1 species